CCUACGGGAGGCAGCAGUGGGGAAUAUUGGACAAUGGGGGCAACCCUGAUCCAGCCAUGCCGCGUGUGUGAAGAAGGCCCUCGGGUUGUAAAGCACUUUCAGUGAGGAAGAACGCCUGGUGGUUAAUACCCAUCAGGAAAGACAUCACUCACAGAAGAAGCACCGGCUAACUCCGUGCCAGCAGCCGCGGUAAUACGGAGGGUGCGAGCGUUAAUCGGAAUUACUGGGCGUAAAGCGCGCGUAGGUGGCUUGAUAAGCCGGUUGUGAAAGCCCCGGGCUCAACCUGGGAACGACAUCCGGAACUGUCAAGCUAGAGUGCAGGAGAGGAAGGUAGAAUUCCCGGUGUAGCGGUGAAAUGCGUAGAGAUCGGGAGGAAUACCAGUGGCGAAGGCGGCCUUCUGGACUGACACUGACACUGAGGUGCGAAAGCGUGGGUAGCAAACAGGAUUAGAUACCCUUGUAGUC
rnacentral:rRNA from 1 species